rnacentral:lncRNA from 1 species
GAACAGUGAGUGUAUUGUUUCACAGUCGAUAAACUUUUUGCUUAGGUAAAUUGCAUACUCUUUUCGACCAAACUAGUCAUGCUGACCCAAUACGCACCUCAUAGACCCCUCGAGGGUUAUCAAGUACCGGAUUAACAGUUAUUUCUUUCACUGAAGUAUCGGAAUCAGAGGUUCCUGCAAUUUAUCUUUUUUUCAAAUGCCCCUUGGCAAUCAUUUUUCCUACCUGACCGUUUUGAUAUCCCCUUUUUUUCGGUUCAGGCAUUUCUUUCCCCUUUUUAAAUUUUUUUUUUUUUUUUUGCAGGAUCAACUUUGAUUCUUCUGACUUACUCACAACAAGCCUCGGUAGCUUGAUGAAUAGCACUCCAUAAGUGCACUGAUUCGGGCUCAACAGUGUGGGUUAUCUCAACCAAUCAACCAACUCGAUCAAGCCCACCGGAUGCCCCUCUUCUGCUUGGGACU